rnacentral:rRNA from 1 species
GGAUUCCCCUAGUAACUGCGAGUGAAGCGGGAAAAGCUCAAAUUUAAAAUCUGGUGGUCUCUGGCCAUCCGAGUUGUAAUCUAGAGAAGUGUUACCCGCGUCGGACCGUGUAUAAGUCUCCUGGAAUGGGGCGUCAUAGAGGGUGAGAAUCCCGUCUUUGACACGGACUACCGAGGCUUUGUGGUAUGCUCUCAAAGAGUCGAGUUGUUUGGGAAUGCAGCUCAAAAUGGGUGGUAAAUUCCAUCUAAAGCUAAAUAUUGGCGAGAGACCGAUAGCGAACAAGUACCGUGAGGGAAAGAUGAAAAGAACUUUGGAAAGAGAGUUAAACAGUACGUGAAAUUGCUGAAAGGGAAACGCUUGAAGUCAGUCGCGUUGGCCGGGAAUCAGCCUUGCUUUUGCUUGGUGUACUUUCUGGUUGACGGGCCAGCAUCAGUUUUGACCGGUGGAAAAAGUUCAGGGGAAUGUGGCAUCUUCGGGUGUGUUAUAGCCCUUGUUCGUAUACAUCGGUUGGGACUGAGGAACUCAGCACGCCGCAAGGCCGGGUCUUUGACCACGUUCGUGCUUAGGAUGCUGGCAUAAUGGCUUUAAUCGACCCGUCUUGAAACACGGACCAAGGAGUCUAACAUGCCUGCGAGUGUUUGGGUGGAAAACCCGAGCGCGUAAUGAAAGUGAAAGUUGAGAUCCCUGUCAUGGGGAGCAUCGACGCCCGGACCUGACGUUUUCUGACGGCCCUGCGGUAGAGCAUGUAUGUUGGGACCCGAAAGAUGGUGAACUAUGCCUGAAUAGGGUGAAGCCAGAGGAAACUCUGGUGGAGGCUCGUAGCGAUUCUGACGUGCAAAUCGAUCGUCAAAUUUGGGUAUAGGGGCGAAAGACUAAUC